UUUUAAUCAAAUAUAAAAUGUUGAUCCAACAUGGUAGAGGCAGUCUAGAAAGUAUGACAUUCUGCCAUGCACUGACAAAGCCAAGUUCAUGUCUGUAAGUCAAAGAAAAAGGAAGCAUCUAAGGAAGUGCUAUUGUUUAUACAAAACACAAGUGGGUGGGAAAAAGAAGUGCAAAUAAAGUGCAGGCUGGCUACUGCCACUGGAUCAGUCCCCAAUCCAACCAAACCAAAAGAAAAAAAAUAGUGUAUAGAAUAAAAUAUAUGGUUACCGCUUUGGAAGAGGAAUUCUCAUAUGAAAGAGAAAAAUAGAGAACAAAUCAUGCAAAACUUUAAUCAAAAAUGAACAGUGAUUUAAAAGCCAGUAACACACUCACAUGAUGGAAUGGCACAGUUAAAAUUAAUUAAAAUUAAGCAAGUCAGCCUCAAUGGGUUGAAUCCCACCAGGGUAAUAUUGGAAAUAAACGUGAU